GCGACGCCCUGCGCAGGCUGCAGGGCCGGCAGCCGGAUUCCCAUCAUAAACCCCCACUAAAACGAGCCUAGAGCGGUAGUCACGUACAGCCAGAUAAAACGCUGCACAAGCUGAAGGAAGCGACUUUAUUACCAUAGACACAAACACUCCAAUUCUCACGGCAGCCACCACUUCAAAGUGUCACCCCUUCCCCAGCAUCCGUCCCCGCGCGGCUCUCGGCCGGCGGGUGCUGCUGACUGAAGUACAGGUUUCCCCACAGAGGGGCCCCUGUAGCUUGGCAUUCUCGGUCUGUUUGGACUCUGUGUACUUAAGUUGGAGAAAGGGUCAGGAUUUCAUACCGAGAUUAUGUGCAUUUCUUGAAAACAGCUCGAUACAUUUCAGUGACUAAGAAGAGGCCUGACUGGGGACCAUCACUACUGAACUGCAAACCAGUAAACAUAUUAUUCUCUGUCUCUGUAAAGAAACAGAUGAAUUUAAAAAUUAACUUCUGAAUAUUACGCUUGCUUCAGUUUAGAAGGCAGACCCACCUAUUUUAUGCCAGUCAUCCGUCCUCCACCAAAUUCCAGAAGGAGCAGUGUUAUCAUCUUCAGAUGUCGUGCUUUCCAGGGCUACAUACAAGCCAGAAGGGUCUUCAGGCACCUCUAUUCUGAUCAGCUAGUCCAGACUUGCCAAGAAAAAGACCACCUUCUCUGAGAAAGUUUCACAAAUUAAACAAAACUCUGAAAAAUACUUGUUAUCUGCCUUCCAAAAAAGAUAUUUUAUGCACAUGUAUUAUAAACAGAGAAGGAGAGUGCAAAACUUAAUGACGUACCCUCAGAUCUUUACUGAAGGCACGUCUAAUUAACGUAAUUAAUAGUAAUGACCAUCAAUAUAGAACUCAAAGAUUAAUAUCAUUCAACUACCAACGUUUCAAUUACAUUUAUCAGGAAGGGUAGAUCACAGGUGUUGACCAUGAAAAGACCUGAGUUUUUUCUUCACUUUUGUUUUUCACAUGAAGUGUAACAACAUCUUUUAGCCUCACUAGAGGAUGUGUUAACGUUCACCUUCCUACAGGGACCAUGUUUUUCUUUGGCUUUCUUUUUAUUUAUUUUCAGUCAGAAAAGUUUGAUAUACAACAGCUUUUUCCUACCUCUUUGUUGAUUUCCUUCAGGUUAUGUACCAUCUCAAAUGCAGAAUGAUAUGAUACAGAAAGGCCUGCUUAGCUAUGCAUCUUUCCAUCUCUUUUCUGGCUUUGACUGCAGAGGAAAAUGGGUCAUCCUAAUUCGAUAUAUCAAUCCCUGCCCCAAAAAAUCAGCUCCCUGCUGGUGUUCCUAAUUGCCACUCAUCCUCAGCCCCUCAGUCCUAAAGUAAUGCUGGAACAGGUGACGAGGCUACUUUAAUGACAGGUGCCCAUUUCUUGCUUGGUACUGCAUGUGUCUUGUGAAUGCCCUGACACAACAGGACAUAUAUGCAUAUUUACUAACAUUAAAACCACUUAGCACCUAAUCACAAAGUAUAUCUCAGGCCACAAGUAUAAAUACAGUUAAAUAUAUAUAUAUUUUUAAUCAGUAAACAGGAGGUGAUAACCAGUGGGAUGUGUGCCUGGCAUAUAAUUUGCUGCAAUACCCCUGAUGAUGGAUUACAGCAAACUAAAUUCAAAGAGUACAAACACAAAACAAGAGUACAACACAAAAGUGAGAGAUAGGUUAGAUUUCAGAUGAGGUCAGUUGAUUUCUGAUAACUUAAAUCCUGCUUUGUGUGCCAGAAGCUAAGCCAUAAUGUUAUCAUUAUGUACAGACUUGGUAGAAGAAAGAAUAGCAGCAGUAGUGAAGCAAGAAUUUGCGUAUUGACUUCCAGGUGCGUGGAAUAACUUUAUGAUACAAUAGGAGUGGCCUUCAGAGCACAAAAUACUCAUAUACUAUGCAGUCAAUGAGACAGAGGAGGGAAAAAAUAAAUAUUUUUCAGUUAUUUAUAUCUUUUUCAUUGUUGCCAAUAAGGGAGUUUAAAAAAGAACGUUUCAAAUAAAAUAUAAAUACUUCAGAGUAAAUUGUAAUCUGAAUGUAUUUUUUCAGGCAGAUUUUCAGAAAUGAAGAGGCUUUUAUUGAAUGCUAAAACAAACUUACAGUCACCUAAGAAUAAGCAGUAUAAUUUACACAAAACAGUUUAGCACAAAAGGAUCCUUAGUCAAUGAUCCAACUUCUUUAGUAAGCAGACAUAAAAUCAUUUGACUUCAAAAUUAUGUUGAUAAAUUAAUGAUUAAAUAUGAGCUAUCAAGAGUGAGAUGGAUAUAAUUCAAGUAUUUUUUUCCUGGGAAAAAAAGGAAUUGAAAAUUUUAAUGUCAGUUUUGUAAUACUAAAGAAUAAACACCCUGGAGAACAAGAGAACUACUGCUUAGUUUCCUUUGUUACACUUGCAUUCAUUUUGAGUGCACAGAAAUUUUCCUGAAUAUGACUAUAUGCCGUGCCCUUUUCAAAUUUGCAAACACACUUCUAAACAACAGCAGGAAUUGAAAAAUAUAACACACACACACACACUGGAACUAUUCCAGAUUAGGAUUGAGAAUCAGUUCUUUUCUAAAGGAUCUAAAUGAAAAAUUUACAGUUUAAAAAAAUUCUGCUGCUAUAUAAGCAUAAACGAAGGGAAAAUACUUCAUCAGAGCAUGGUAGUAUAGGAAUUAUUAAACCAUUUUUCUUUCAGCUAGUUUUUUGUUGUUAUUUUUUGUUUUGUUCAUUUUUUUGGUUGGUUGUUGUUUGUUUUGUUGUUGUUGUUUUUUCCAAAUAGCCUGCUGUAUAGUGUAUAGAAAGGGGCUAAGUAUCGAUUGAGAUAAAAAUUCUGUUAUUAGCUUAGAAUCAUUUUACCUUGCGAGUACGAUAACAUUUGCAGAUUCAAAUUUGAUUGGA